GCUUAAGCCUAAAUACUCUAAAGGCAACCAAUCUCAUAUGAUCUUGGAAGAUAAGCAGGGUCAACCCUGGCUAGUACUUCACUGAGAGACCACCAAUGAAUGCAGGUGUGAUCAACU
rnacentral:rRNA from 1 species